UACGUAGGGUGCGAGCGUUGUCCGGAAUUACUGGGCGUAAAGCGCUCGUAGGUGGUUUGUCGCGUUGUCCGUGAAAACUCACAACUCAAUUGUGGGCGUGCGGGCGAUACGGGCAGACUGGAGUACUGCAGGGGAGACUGGAAUUCCUGGUGUAGCGGUGGAAUGCGCAGAUAUCAGGAGGAACACCAGCGGCGAAGGCGGCGCUCUGGGCCGGUACUGACACUGAGGAGCGAAAGCGUGGGUAGCAAACAGG
rnacentral:rRNA from 1 species